rnacentral:rRNA from 1 species
UGAGUAAUACAUCGGAACGUGUCUUCUAGUGGGGGAUAACUGCCCGAAAGGGCAGCUAAUACCGCAUGAGACCUGAGGGUGAAAGCGGGGGAGUCGCAAGACCUCGCGCUGGAAGAGCGGCCGAUGUCCGAUUAGCUAGUUGGUGAGGUAAAGGCUCACCAAGGCGACGAUCGGUAGCUGGUCUGAGAGGACGACCAACCACACUGGGACUGAGACACGGCCCAG